rnacentral:rRNA from 1 species
GACGAACGCUGGCGGCGUGCCUAAUACAUGCAAGUAGGACGCAGUUGCGAACGGGUGAGUAAUGCGUAGGUAACUACCUAUUAGAGGGGGAUAACUAUUGGCAACGAUAGCUAAUACCGCAUACUAGUAGAUGGACCUGCGUUGUAUUAGCUAGUAGGUAGGGUAAUGCCCUACCUAGGCAACGAUACAUAGCCGACGUGAGAGAGUGAUCGGCCACACUGGGACUUAUGCACGGCCCAGAGUCCGACGGGAGGCAGCAGUAGGGAAUCUUCGGCAAUGGGGGGCACCCUGACCGAGCAACGCCGAGUUAGUGAAGAAGGUUUUCGGAUCGUGAAGCUCUGUUGUUAAGGGAGCGGUACUUAACCAGAAAGGGACGGCUAACUACGUGCCAGCCGCCGCGGUAAUUC